CAGCCGCCGCGGUAAAACCAGCACCUCGAGUGGUCAGGAGGUUUAUUGGGCCUAAAGCAUCCGUAGCCGGUUGCAUAAGUUUUCGGUUAAAUCUAUGCGCUUAACGUAUAGGCCGCCGAAAAUACUGUGCAGCUAGGGAGUGGGAGAGGUACACGGUACUCGAUAGGAAGGGGUAAAAUCCUUUGAUCUAUUGAUGACCACCUGUGGCGAAGGCGGUGUACCAGAACACGUUCGACGGUGAGGGAUGAAAGCUGGGGGAGCAAACCGGAUUAGAUACCCGUGUAGUCCCUGUCUCUUAUAC
rnacentral:rRNA from 1 species